rnacentral:rRNA from 1 species
UACGUAGGGUGCAAGCGUUGUCCGGAAUCAUUGGGCGUAAAGAGCGUGUAGGCGGCUCGAUCAGUCCGCUGUAAAAGUCCAGGGCUCAACCCUGGGAUGCCGGUGGAUACUGUCGAGCUAGAGUCCGGAAGAGGCGAGUGGAAUUCCUGGUGUAGCGGUGAAAUGCGCAGAUAUCAGGAGGAACACCAAUGGCGAAGGCAGCUCGCUAGGACGGUACUGACGCUGAGACGCGAAAGCGUGGGGAGCAAACAGG